GAUGAACGCUGGCGGCGUGCCUAAUACAUGCAAGUCGAGCGAACGGACGAGAAGCUUGCUUUUCUGAUGUUAGCGGCGGACGGGUGAGUAACACGUGGAUAACCUACCUAUAAGACUGGGAUAACUUCGGGAAACCGGAGCUAAUACCGGAUAAUAUUUUGAACCGCAUGGUUCAAAAGUGAAAGACGGUCUUGCUGUCACUUAUAGAUGGAUCCGCGCUGCAUUAGCUAGUUGGUAAGGUAACGGCUUACCAAGGCAACGAUGCAUAGCCGACCUGAGAGGGUGAUCGGCCACAAUGGAACGGAGACACGGUCCAGACUCCUACGGGAGGCAGCAGUAGGGAAUCUUCCGCAAUGGGCGAAAGCAUGACGGAGCAACGCCGCGUGAGUGAUGAAGGUCUUCGGAUCGUAAAACUCUGUUAUUAGGGAAGAACAUAUGUGUAAGUAACUGUGCACAUCUUGACGGUACCUAAUCAGAAAGCCACGGCUAACUACGUG
rnacentral:rRNA from 1 species